AGUGAACGCUGGCGGUAGGCCUAACACAUGCAAGUCGAACGGCAGCACAGUAAGAGCUUGUUCUUACGGGUGGCGAGUGGCGGACGGGUGCGGAAUACCUCGGAAUCUACUUUUUCGUGGGGGAUAACGUAGGGAAACUUACGCUAAUCCCGCAUACGACCUACGGGUGAAAGCAGGGGAUCUUCGGCCCUUGCGCGAUUGAAUGAGCCGAUGUCGGAUUAGCUAGUUGGCGGGGUAAAGGCCCACCAAGGCGACGAUCCGUAGCUGGUCUGAGAGGAUGAUCAGCCACACUGGAACUGAGACACGGUCCAGACUCCUACGGGAGGCAGCAGUGGGGAAUAUUGGACAAUGGGCGCAAGCCUGAUCCAGCCAUACCGCGUGGGUGAAGAAGGCCUUCGGAUUGUAAAGCCCUUUUGGUGGGAAAGAAAAGCAGCAGGUUAAUACCCCGCUGUUCUGACGGUACCCAAAGAAUAAGCACCGGCUAACUUCGUG
rnacentral:rRNA from 1 species